CAAAAAGUAGUUUAAUUAAAAUUAUAACUUUGGGAGUUAUAGAUCGGUAUACCCCGUUUUUUGA
rnacentral:tRNA from 1 species